ACCCAUAUAACAGGAACUAGGAACUCAUGAGUAUUGUCAAAUCUAACAAGAAACACGCCUCAAUAAACGACCAAGAUCUAAACGGAACCGCGCUCAAGCAAUUUCUCUCUCCUUCGACAUUUUCUCUCUCCUAAAGAGUUCUCUCUCCUCAAGCGCUCUCUCUCCUCUACAAACUGGAUCACCGCCAAUAAUCUCUUUCAUCAAGCACUAUUUCACUCCUCGACAAACUGGAAAACCUCCAUUAUUAAUUGUAGAAUCUAUGUCUAAAACAGGAUUGGAUUGUACAGUAUGAUCCUCCAGUUGACCCAAAGGAACUCAAUCAUGAAUCCUUGUGAAAUAUUUUGGAGACAAGCCCUAAAGACUGACUGCAAACUAUGGGCGAAACCUCAGUUAUGUUAAGUUCUUGGUUGUGCUAGCCUGCUAGGUUAUGAUAAGCCCUAUGUUUUUUGAACAAUUAUUUGAUGUUAAUUUUUCUUUCCUAGGUAAUUAAUUGUAGACUUAUAGAUUAGUAUUUCUACAGUAUAUGAGCAAAAUUUAGAAUUCCUUAAUUAGCAUAGGGGUGUUAGAUUUGAACAAUUUUGUGAAAUAAUAAAGUUUUAUAGUAUGCAUAAUACUAAUUAUGUGAAAGCCCACUGCUAGAAUUUUAUAUGUUCAUCAAGAUUACAGUCAUUACACUUUCAUUUGCCAAUUAAACGAGGUAUUCUAAUAGCAUAUAUUUUUUUUGUUGAUUCUCUUGCUAUUGUUGUAUAUAAUGAAUCUAAUUUUUUUGUUUAUGUGUGAGGUGGUGUUGAAUGUCAUAGUCUUAAAGGUAGUAUGAGGUAUAUAUGAAACUAUAUGCAGGUGUUUAAUGAAGGUAAUGGAAGGAAUAGUGCCCUUUGAACAAGUCUAUUAUUCUGAUAGUGGGUUCAGAAUUAUUAAAAAGCUAAUAAAUUCACUAAGGUCAAGUGAUC